rnacentral:tRNA from 4 species
GCACCGGUGGUUUAAUGGUAGAAUCUCUCGCUUCCAACGAGAUGACCCGGGUUCGAUUCCCGGCUGGUGCA